CCCCUCUUAGGGUCGCACCUGGAGAGUCUCCAGCACUCUACCAGUCUCGGCUACGGGAGGGAGAAUCAAGCAGAGGCCUGCCCAUUCCAUUCCUAGCUUGGCCAGUAGCUAGCGAUUGGAAGGCAAUCUGCCACAAGU